rnacentral:rRNA from 1 species
AUUGAACGCUGGCGGCAGGCCUAACACAUGCAAGUCGAGCGGAGCGGCGGACGGGUGAGUAAUGCCUAGGAAUCUGUCUUGUAGUGGGGGAUAACGUCCGUAAACGGGCGCUAAUACCGCAUACUAUCAGAUGAGCCUAGGUCGGAUUAGUUAGUUGGUGGGGUAAAGGCAUACAAAGGCGACGAUCCGUAACUUGUCUGAGAGGAUGAUUAGGCACAGUGGAACAUAGACACGGUCCAGACUCCAACGGGAGGCGUAAGUGGGGAAUAUUGGACAAUGGGCGAAAGCCUGAUCCGGCCAUGCGGCGUGUGUGAAGAAGGUCUUCGGAUUGUAAAGCACUUUAAGUUGGGAGGCGUUACCAACAGAAUAAGCACCGGCUAACUUCGUGCCAGCAGCCGCGGUAAUUC